UACUCUAUGUGUAAUCAAUCAAUCAAUAUCAAUCAAUAUAUAAUAUAAAAUUAGGCAUAGACAAUCCUAUGUGGCACCUCUCUAUGACCAAGAAACACAUUUAUUUUUUUCUCCUUUUUUUUUGGCAUUUUCCCUAUUAUUUCCCAUUUAUGGGCUAUGUUUAAGAAACUUAAAAUUCACUCAUUUUGACUCUCUUAAUUAUGUUAAACGUGGUAUGUUAAAAAAAAUAAAAUCCAUCUUUUUAACUCUCUUUAUUAUGCUGUAAAACUUAAAUGUCCCUCAUUUAAUUCUCAUUUUAACACAUUCCUCUUUAACAUUAUAUGGCUUCCGUUUGCCUUCCCUCAAUUCUGAACAAAUUGAAGAAACAAAAUGCCAUAAAAGUCUCUAUUAAAUAAAUACUAAUGCAGCCCAUUUGCCUACCCACAAAUUCAUUAGUGGGUUUUAACGUUGCACUAUAAUUAGUGUGUUUUAAAUGUCCCAUAAUCAAUUGAUGAUGCAAAAAUUUAUCAUACGUAACUUUGUCAUAUCCAUUCUCCACCUCUCGAGUAACAUCAUAAUUAACAUCCCUCAAUUACUACUAAUUAUUCCUCUCCUCAUUACGGCUAAUUAUUUCUUCUCCUACCAUCCCUCUUUCUUCCAUCUUAAUUUCAUAUCUAUUUCUACUUCAAAAAUCUAGCCUUCUUCAACUACUUCACAGCUGAUCCAGGUUGAUAAUGCGUGUAUUUGUUGUAUUUGGAUUAUUUUCCUUAAGAGGAUAUUGUUAAGUCGUUUAUAAUUGACAUUUUCUGAAACAAUUGUGAUUUAGAGAAUCUUUAAAGUCUAUCAUAAUGAAUGGUAAUUUAGAGAAUCUUUAAAGUCUAUCAUAAUGAAUGGUAAUUGAUCCAUCGUUAUCUUUUGAAUGAAGUUUUGAUGGAUGAAAAAAGUGUCUUUGCUUACGGAAUUGAUUUCACGUGAAAAAGGUAUGAAGUCAAUUAAUUUUAUAUUUUUAUUAUUUUUCUUUCUAAACCAUAUAUAAGAGGAGAACUUUUGAAGGAACGAAGGUCAAUUAAUUUAUAUUUUAUCAUUUGUUUUUAUUAAUUUUCUUUUAUACCUAAAUACAUAAGGUUUUUUUUUUUUUUGAAUGAUUCCUUGCUGUGAAUUUUGGUUAAUUUUGUUGUGUCUUGUGGAGAAAAAUAUUACUUUUUGUUUGUCAUUAAAAGUGUGGAGUGAGUGAUAUACGAAGAAUCUAAAAUAUAUUAUUAUCAUGCAUUUUCUGACCUUUUAUACCCUAUUCGUAAUCAUAGUUGAUAGUUCAAUUUUAUGAAAAAUCUACAUUGUACAAUUAUCUAGCAAUAUUUGUUUGUGUCGGUAUUAUUUACUUUAAAUCCAUUUUGUGAGAUUCUAACGUUUUUAAAAGCAUCUAAAUGAAUUCUAACAUUAGUAGAUUAAUAAAAUAAAUUUAUUUGUAAUUUAUCUUCUAAAAUGAGAAGAAACUAAUGUAAAAUAUUAAUAGAAAAAUAAAAUUUAAAUCUAACUCUUUUUAUGUAUAAAAAAUAUCUAAUUAUAAUUGAGUUAAAUGAGAAAGAAAGCAAAUGAGAAAGAAAGCACUGUGUUGAGUAGACAGGUGGAGACUUUGAGGUGUCGGGACCAAAGAUUUUAACUUUCUAAACUCAUGUAAAUAUUUAGUGGUCUAUUUUUUCUCAAUUUUAUUUUUUUAUUUUUUCCCUUCUAUUCAGUGUUGUGGGUUAGGAAUGGUGAUACACUAUUAAUGUAUGAGAAGAAAUUGAGCUUUUAGAAAUUUAGAACUUUGUGAAUACAAAAGGACGUAGCUAACAAAUUUUGUACAGUAUUUUUUUUCUUUCACUAUUUUACUUGCCUAAAUUGUUAUUACCUAACAGAGAUUUUUAUAGCUGAUAUGAAUAAUUUUUAUCGUUCUUCUUUAUCUCUCAAAUUAAAUUUAACUAAGAAACUAUAGCAUAAAUCCAUGGAUAUUUUUCCACGAAAUAACCGCGCGAAGCGCGGUCAAAUACACUAGUUGGAGUAUAGAGUAGCCUUAAGAAACUGGUUCUCUCUCAAUUGUAAUUCACAGUUAUUCCCGUCAAAUAACAUGAGAAAGGCGCAGUGCAAAAGAGAUAAAUCAGUUUCUCUGAAAGUUUAAUCACUUCCGCUGAAGGUAAUUCAAGAAAUUCAAGAAAACAUAUAGAUUCAGGUAUGUUUUCUUAAUUGAAAUAAUGUUAUAAUAUGCCUUGUGAAAAUCAUUAAGUUCCACGAUCCUAAAGUCAUGUCGGGUUUUCAAUUAGAUUAUUUAUGUUUCACAGUCUAUAACCGAGAAAACCCUAAAAGGAAUAUGGUAAGAGAAGCUUUUAAAGGAAUUUGAGAUUUGAUGGAUUGCAAAACAUGUUUGAGCUCUGGGACUUUGAUUUUCAUCGAAGAAUCAUGUUCAAGGAUGGAUUA